AGAACGACUCUCGGCAACGGAUAUCUCGGCUCUCGCAUCGAUGAAGAACGUAGCGAAAUGCGAUACUUGGUGUGAAUUGCAGAAUCCCGUGAACCAUCGAGUCUUUGAACGCAAGUUGCGCCNGAAGCCAUCAGGUCGAGGGCACGUCUGCCUGGGCGUCACAC
rnacentral:rRNA from 1 species